rnacentral:rRNA from 1 species
AUAACGGUCCUAAGGUAGCGAAAUUCCUUGUCGGGUAAGUUCCGACCUGCACGAAUGGCGUAACGAUGGGGGCGCUGUCUCUACCCGAGACUCAGUGAAAUUGAAAUCGCCGUGAAGAUGCGGUGUAUCCGCGGCUAGACGGAAAGACCCCGUGAACCUUUACUAUAGCUUCACAGUGAACUUUGAGCAUGUUUGUGUAGGAUAGCUGGGAGGCUUUGAAGUGGGAACGCCAGUUCUCAUGGAGCCAACCUUGAAAUACCAGCCUGACAUGUUUGAGGUUCUAACUUGGUCCCCUUAUCGGGGAUGAGGACACUGUGUGGUGGGUAGUUUGACUGGGGCGGUCUCCUCCCAAAGCGUAACGGAGGAGCACAAAGGUGGGCUAAGCAUGGUCGGACAUCAUGCGGUUAGUGUAAUGGCACAAGCCCGCUUAACUGCGAGACAGACACGUCGAGCAGGUACGAAAGUAGGUCAUAGUGAUCCGGUGGUUCUGUAUGGAAGGGCCAUCGCUCAACGGAUAAAAGGUACUCCGGGGAUAACAGGCUGAUACCGCCCAAGAGUUCACAUCGACGGCGGUGUUUGGCACCUCGAUGUCGGCUCAUCACAUCCUGGGGCUGAAGCCGGUCCCAAGGGUAUGGCUGUUCGCCAUUUAAAGUGGUACGCGAGCUGGGUUUAGAACGUCGUGAGACAGUUCGGUCCCUAUCUGCCGUGGACGUUGGAGAUUUGAGGAAAGCUGCUCCUAGUACGAGAGGACCGGAGUGGACGAACCUCUGGUGUUCGGGUUGUGACGCCAGUCGCAUUGCCCGGUAGCUAUGUUCGGACAGGAUAACCGCUGAAAGCAUCUAAGCGGGAAGCCCCUUCCAAGAUGAGAUCUCCCUGGACCCUCGAGGUCCCUGAAGAGCCGUUCAAGACCAGGACGUUGAUAGGUCGGGUGUGUAAGCGCUGCGAGGCGUUGAGCUAACCGAUACUAAUUGCUCGUGCG